rnacentral:tRNA from 1 species
GGGCUCAUAGCUCAGCCUGGUUAGAGCGCUGGUCUUAUAAGCCAGAAGUCAGGGGUUCAAAUCCCCUUGGGCCCA